UAUCAGAGAGUAGCUGUGAAGCUCUGUCCUCAGUUCUCAGCUCCCAGUCCUCUAGUCUGAGAGAGCUGGACCUGAGUAACAACAACCUGCGGGAUUCAGGAGGGAAACUGAUCUCUGUUGGCCUGAAGAGUCCACACUGCACACUGGAGACUCUCAGUCUGUCAGGCUGUCUGAUCUCAGAGGAAGGCUGUUCUUCUCUGGUCUCAGCUCUGAGCUCCAACCCCUCCCAUCUGAGAGAGCUGGACCUGAGCUACAAUCACCCAGGAGACUCAGGAGUGAAGCUACUCUCAGCGGGACUGGAGGAUCCUCUCUGGAGACUGGACACUCUCAGGGUGGAGCCUGCUGGAGUCAGAUGGUUGACACCGGGUCUGAGGAAGUGUAAGUGUGUAUUUAAUUUUGUUCAUCAAACUGUGACAUAAUUCAUUCAAACCUCUGAAGUUAUCAUGACUGGACCAUGGUCACCCUCUGCCUUUACCGUAAUAUUACAUCUAUAACAACCGCGUUCCCAACUUUACCUGGAGCUCACAAACCGAAAGUCUGUUUCUCUCUUCCGUUGUCUGUCACAGCCUAACGUUUAACUGACAUUAUUCAACCUUAGCACUUGUUUUAGCAGACCUCUAUUACUUCAGUUAACUUUAACCAGCCUGCUUCUUUCUGAAAAACAACAACAUCAAAAAGAAACAGCCUAACUAAACAUGCUUGCUUACUGGGAGUUCUGGAUAAACUCACGGAAGACAUUACCGUCGCUGGCUGUGUGGUGAAGCAAAUCUACCAGCCACUUGCAUAUUUUACCAGCAGAAGGUGUUAACUUUGGACCCUGAUUCAAGCCAAUCAGCAACAGGCAGCAGCAGUUGAUGGUGGGGAGGCAGCGUGUGAAAGUGCCGGCCAGCCAGUACAUAUCUUUCCAUGAAUCUGGGGGCAGAGCUUCUGAAGGGGGUUGUAGCUGUUUGCCAGUUGAAUUCAAAUAUCAAUAAUCUUUGCGCAACAUUGCUUACUGCACCUUUAAUAACUGCAGCUCCGGGGCUCCCUGGUAGCUCACCUGGUUGAGUGUUUGCCUAAUAUACAAACCCCAAUUCCAAAAAGAUGGCGGAGUGAAGAGAUGGCACGCUGAGACGCCGCGCUGAGGCCAAAACCCCCUCUUUAAAGGUUAUUUUUCCAACUUAAUCUGUAAUUUUUACAUAAAUAUAAGAAACUGGAAUAGUUCGCAAGAGACAAUUGAAAGUUUGGAGUCUUACAUCGACGCAAAUUACGACGAAAUGGCAAAACCGGGAGCAAGCGUGGAAGAAGCGAACUGGGCUCAAGUGGCACAGAGGACUGUUUGCUUACCACAGAAAUGCAAAGUAUUAAAAAGCUUUGGACGGCAUGAACAGCAAGCUUCAAAAGCUGGACAUGCUAAAUCAACUCUCUGAAGAUGUGAAAGACAUGAAGCAUUCACUGGAGUUCUAUAUAGAAUUGGUCGACGUCCUCAAACAAGAGAGUGCGUCGCUGAGAUUAGAGGUUAAAAAUCUCAAACAACUGACCACUGAACUCUAAGGAAACAAUACCAAAAUGUCAGAAAACAUUUUGGAUUUACAGAUCCGGAGUAUGCAAGAUCAUAUAAUAAUCCAUGGUGUGCACGAGACAGCAAAGGAAACUUACCAAGUCACAGAGAAGCUGGUAAAAAGUUAAUGACGGAGCAGCUAAAAAUGGAUCAAUCCGUGGUGCAGAACAUUCAGCUUGCUAGAGUGCACCGGAUCGGGAAACCCAAAGUAGCAAGGGACAAACACAAACCCAUCGUGGCAAAACUUGCUGUGUCGAAGGACAAAUCCACUAUUAUGGCAAGAGGUCGGGAACUGAAAGGAUCAACUUUCUCCAUCACAGAGCAGUUCCCUCCG